CAUCAUGCCCCUUAUGACCUGGGCUACACACGUAUUACAAUGGCCGGUACAACGGGAAGCGAAGUCGCGAGGUGGAGCCAAUCCUAGAAAAGCCGGUCUCAGUUCGGAUUGUAGGCUGCAACUCGCCUACAUGAAGUCGGAAUUGCUAGUAAUCGCGGAUCAGCAUGCCGCGGUGAAUACGUUCCCGGGUCUUGUACACACCGCCCGUCACACCAAGGGGAGUUUACAACACCCGAAGUCG
rnacentral:rRNA from 1 species